rnacentral:rRNA from 1 species
AGGGUUUGAUUCUGGCUCAGGAUGAACGCUGGCGGCGUGCUUAACACAUGCAAGUCGAACGGGAAACCUUUUAUUGAAGCUUCGGCAGAUUUAGAUUGUUUCUAGUGGCGGACGGGUGAGUAACGCGUGGGUAACCUGCCUUGUACAGGGGGAUAACAGUCAGAAAUGACUGCUAAUACCGCAUAAGCGCACAGGACCGCAUGGUCCGGUGUGAAAAACUCCGGUGGUAUAAGAUGGACCCGCGUUGGAUUAGCUAGUUGGUGGGGUAACGGCCCACCAAGCCUUCGAUGGAUAGGGGUUCUGAGAGGAAGGUCCCCCACAUUGGAACUGAGACACGGUCCAA